AGAGUUUGAUCCUGGCUCAGAUUGAACGCUGGCGGCAUGCCUUACACAUGCAAGUCGAACGGUAACGCGGGGCAACCUGGCGACGAGUGGCGAACGGGUGAGUAAUAUAUCGGAACGUGCCCAGUAGUGGGGGAUAGCCCGGCGAAAGCCGGAUUAAUACCGCAUACGACCUACGGGUGAAAGCGGGGGAUCGCAAGACCUCGCGCCAUUGGAGCGGCCGAUAUCAGAUUAGGUAGUUGGUGGGGUAAAAGCCUACCAAGCCGACGAUCUGUAGCUGGUCUGAGAGGACGACCAGCCACACUGGGACUGAGACACGGCCCAGACUCCUACGGGAGGCAGCAGUGGGGAAUUUUGGACAAUGGGCGCAAGCCUGAUCCAGCCAUGCCGCGUGCGGGAAGAAGGCCUUCGGGUUGUAAACCGCUUUUGUCAGGGAAGAAAUGUCCUGGGCUAAUACCCCGGGAAAAUGACGGUACCUGAAGAAUAAGCACCGGCUAACUACGUGCCAGCAGCCGCGGUAAUACGUAGGGUGCAAGCGUUAAUCGGAAUUACCGGGCGUAAAGCGUGCGCAGGCGGUCUUGCAAGACAGAUGUGAAAUCCCCGGGCUUAACCUGGGAACUGCAUUUGUGACUGCAAGGCUGGAGUACGGUAGAGGGGGAUGGAAUUCCGCGUGUAGCAGUGAAAUGCGUAGAUAUGCGGAGGAACACCGAUGGCGAAGGCAAUCCCCUGGACCUGUACUGACGCUCAUGCACGAAAGCGUNNNGAGCAAACAGGAUUAGAUACCCUGGUAGUCCACGCCCU
rnacentral:rRNA from 1 species